AAAGUCUAAAACGACUCUCGGCAACGGAUAUCUCGGCUCUCGCAUCGAUGAAGAACGUAGCGAAAUGCGAUACUUGGUGUGAAUUGCAGAAUCCCGUGAACCAUCGAGUCUUUGAACGCAAGUUGCGCCCGAAGCCUUUUGGCCGAGGGCACGUCUGCCUGGGUGUCACAA
rnacentral:rRNA from 1 species